AUUCAUAUAUAAAGAACCUAAAUUCAUUUUAAAGAAUCUUAUAUCCAUGAAUGUCUCGCGUUCAUCGUCGUGUAUUUCAAAUAUAGGAGGUGAUUAAGAUAGAGUUGUUUUUUUACACCCCUAGCUAUUCCAGAGGGAGUAGGGUGAUUUUCAAGGAUUUCUACAACUUCUUUGGAGGACAUUUCGAUGAUCUUUGAUUGUCUUUUCAACUUCACCGAAGUUGUGUUCGACAAACUAGCCAUUUUUUGGUGCUUGGAAUUCCAGGUCUCAAGCUCAGAAGCCCUGUUUCUAGAUACGGUCACAUGCGAUUUGAUUCGGUUGGAGGCCCAGUGACCCACCCUGAACCCCACUGCUUUGCCAGCUCUCUUUACCUCACUUUAUUCCUAGCUCCCUGCACAAAUUGGAAAAGAAGAAAUCAUAGCUCUGAAUUAAAGCAGGAAGGGCAAGUAGGAACCAUUUUGUUCCCGGAGCUUCUCCGAGACUCAGAAUCUAUCUACAAAAUGCUGUCCCUCGGGUACCCACUAACCUGACCAGUUCUCCAUUGCUUUGGAAUAUCUCUUCAAAUAUUACAAGUAGAAGAAAGGGAUGAAAGGCCUAAAGCCAGAGGGGCCCUUGCAUCAGGUUGAAUACAAAAUUUUUAUAUAUUUCAACUGCAAUGAAGUAGCAAGAACCACUGCACAUGCCCGUUUACAUGGAGAGAUCUGAAAAGCAAACAUACAAUAAUUUCCAUGAUUUUGUAACGUAAAGGGUAAACAACUGUGAAGGAGAGCCCCACUGUCCCUGCCCCAAAUAUCAUGAAUGGUUUCAGUGUGCCAUGUGCUGAUAUAUCUAAGAACACACCGUAUGCCUUUCGAUGAGCUGCGUUUCUUGGUAGCAUGUUGAAAAGGGCAGCCAUGGACAAAUGGUCCUUGUCAUUUCCAAGCAACCCUUUGUUUUCAUGUGAUGGAUCAUAGAUGUACAAGAAUCUAAAGAUCUACAUGGGCAUAUAUAUAUAAAUCACACGUGAGAGAUUAUUAUCA